rnacentral:misc_RNA from 1 species
CAGUACGCGAAAGUCGACUAAUAGUACGCAUCCUUGCGAAAGUCAUCGCAAAGCCAUCGAUGUUAUGAAAACAUCGACUAACAGUGUGCAUCUUUACAAUUCUUGUAAACUACGCAAUAAAUAUAUGAAUAAAGACAGACGAGUUUUAAUGGAAAUAGAUGAUGGACAAAUUCGUGAUUAAAAAGAAAAGGGAAAAUUACAAUAACAAUAAUCAAGAAGCCUCAAAUGAAGGAGGCAUGUCAGAGACUUCAUCAAUGAGAAUGGCAGCGAUGAAGCGGAAUAUAU